GACGAACGCUGGCGGCGUGCUUAACACAUGCAAGUCGAACGAUGAACCCGGAGCUUGCUCCGGUGGAUUAGUGACGAACGGGUGAGUAACACGCGAGUAACCUGCCCUUGACUCUGGGAUAACUGCGGGAAACUGUAGCUAAUACCGGAUACGACCCUCGGCGGCAUCGCCAGGGGGUGGAAAGAAUUUCGGUCAAGGAUGGACUCGCGGCCUAUCAGCUAGUUGGUGAGGUAACGGCUCACCAAGGCGACGACGGGUAGCCGGCCUGAGAGGGUGACCGGCCACACUGGGACUGAGACACGGCCCAGACUCCUACGGGAGGCAGCAGUGGGGAAUAUUGCACAAUGGGCGCAAGCCUGAUGCAGCAACGCCGCGUGAGGGAUGACGGCCUUCGGGUUGUAAACCUCUUUCAGCACCGACGAAGCGCAAGUGACGGUAGGUGCAGAAGAAGGACCGGCCAACUACGUGCCAGCCGCCGCAGUAA
rnacentral:rRNA from 1 species